rnacentral:rRNA from 1 species
GAUGAACGCUGGCGGCGUGCCUAAUACAUGCAAGUCGAGCGAACAGACGAGGAGCUUGCUCCUCUGAGGGUAGCGGCGGACGGGUGAGUAACACGUGGAUAACCUACCUAUAAGACUGGGAGAACUUCGGGAAACCGGAGCUAAUACUGGAUAAUAUAUUGAACGGCAUGGUUCAAUGGUGGAAGACGGUUUUGCUGUCACUUAUAGAUGGAUCCGCGCCGCAUUAGCUAGUUGGUAAGGUAACGGCUUACCAAGGCAACGAUGCGUAGCCGACCUGAGAGGGUGAUCGGCCACACUGGAACUGAGACACGGUCCAGACUCCUACGGGAGGCAGCAGUAGGGAAUCUUCCGCAAUGGGCGAAAGCCUGACGCAGCAACGCCGCGUGAGUGAUGAAGGUCUUCGGAUCGUAAAACUCUGUUAUUAGGGAAGAACAAAUGUGUAAGUAACUAUGCACGUCUUGACGGUACCUAAUCAGAAAGCCCCGGCUAACUACGUG